rnacentral:tRNA from 1 species
AUUUAUAUAAUUUAAUUAGAAUAUUGCAUUGAAGCUGCAAAAGUGAGCGUUAGUUCUGUAAAUA